rnacentral:tRNA from 1 species
GGUUCCAUGGUGUGAUGGUUAGCACUCAAGACUCUGAAUCUUACGAUCCGAGUUCAAAUCUCGGUGGAACCU